CGAAUACUUUGGUGGCGACCGGCGCACGGGUGCGUAACGCGUAUGCAACCUACCUUUAACAGGGGCAUAACACUGAGAAAUUGGUACUAAUUCCCCAUAACGUUCGAGAAGGCAUCUUCUUGGGUUAAAAACUCCGGUGGUUAAAGAUGGGCAUGCGUUGUAUUAGCUAGUUGGUGAGGUAACGGCUCACCAAGGCAACGAUACAUAGGGGGACUGAGAGGUUAACCCCCCACAUUGGUACUGAGACACGGACCAA
rnacentral:rRNA from 1 species